rnacentral:rRNA from 1 species
AACGAACGCUGGCGGCAGGCUUAACACAUGCAAGUCGAACGCCCCGCAAGGGGAGUGGCAGACGGGUGAGUAACGCGUGGGAAUCUACCCAAUUCUUCGGAACAACUGAGGGAAACUUCA